UACGGAAUGUGCAAACGUUAUUCGGAAUCACUGGGCUUAAAGAGUCCGUAGGCGGCAUGUUAGGUGAGGUGUGAAAUCCCCCGGCUCAACCGAGGAAUUGCGCUUCAAACCGGCGUGCUAGAGGAAGAUAGAGGUGGGCGGAACUGAUGGUGGAGCGGUGAAAUGCGUUGAUAUCAUCAGGAACACCGGAGGCGAAGGCGGCCCACUGGGUCUUUUCUGACGCUGAGGGACGAAAGCUAGGGGAGCGAACGGG
rnacentral:rRNA from 1 species